GUAGGCGGCAAGCGUUGUCCGGAAUUAUUGGGCGUAAAGCGCGCGCAGGCGGUUCUUUAAGUCUGAUGUGAAAGCCCACGGCUCAACCGUGGAGGGUCAUUGGAAACUGGAGAACUUGAGUACAGAAGAGGAAAGCGGAAUUCCACGUGUAGCGGUGAAAUGCGUAGAGAUGUGGAGGAACACCAGUGGCGAAGGCGGCUUUCUGGUCUGUAACUGACGCUGAGGCGCGAAAGCGUGGGGAGCAAACAGGAUUAGAUACCCUGGUAGUCCACGCCGUAAACGAUGAGUGCUAAGUGUUAGGGGGGUUUCCGCCCCCCUUGUGCUGCAGCUAACGCAUUAAGCACUCCGCCUGGGAGUACGGCCGCAAGGCUG
rnacentral:rRNA from 1 species